UUGACGGGGCCCGGCACAAGCGGUGGAGCAUGUGGUUUAAUUCGAUGAUACGCGAGGAACCUUACCUGGGCUCGAACGUAAGAUGACUGUAGGUGAAAGCUUACAUCUCUUCGGAGCAUUUUACGAGGUGCUGCAUGGUUGUCGUCAGCUCGUGCCGUGAGGUGUCGGGUUAAGUCCCAUAACGAGCGCAACCCCUACCUUUAGUUGCCAUCAGGUUAAGCUGGGGACUCUAAAGGAACUGCCUACGCAAGUAGUGAGGAAGGCGGGGAUGACGUCAAAUCAGCACGGCCCUUACGUCCAGGGCUACACACGUGCUACAAUGGCCGAUACAGAGGGCAGCUACCUGGUGACAGGAUGCAAAUCUCCAAAGUCGGUCUCAGUUCGGAUCGGAGUCUGCAACCCGACUCCGUGAAGUUGGAUUCGCUAGUAAUCGCGCAUCAGCCAUGGCGCGGUGAAUACGUUCCCGGGCCUU
rnacentral:rRNA from 1 species